AUUGAACGCUGGCGGCAUGCUUUACACAUGCAAGUCGAACGGUAACAGGCCGCAAGGUGCUGACGAGUGGCGAACGGGUGAGUAAUGCAUCGGAACGUGCCCAGUCGUGGGGGAUAACGCAGCGAAAGCUGUGCUAAUACCGCAUACGAUCUAUGGAUGAAAGCGGGGGACCGUAAGGCCUCGCGCGAUUGGAGCGGCCGAUGUCAGAUUAGGUAGUUGGGGGGGUAAAGGCCCACCAAGCCAACGAUCUGUAGCGGGUCGGAGAGGACGACCAGCCACAAUGGGACGGGUAAACGGCCCCGACUCCUACGGGAGGCAGCAGUGCGGAAUUUUGGACAAUGGGCGCAAUCCUGAUCCAGCAAUGCCGCGUGCAGGAAGAAGGCCUUCGGGUUGUAAACUGCUUUUGUACGGAACGAAACGGUCUGGGUUAAUACCCUGGGCUAAUGACGGUACCGUAAGAAUAAGCACCGGCUAACUACGUGCCAGCCGCCGCGGUAA
rnacentral:rRNA from 1 species